rnacentral:ncRNA from 1 species
UUCUUAUCCAGAGAGGCAGAGGGACUGGCCCUAUGAAGCCUCAGCAACCGGUUCAAAACGAGUAAAAGUUUACCAGUAGUUAAACCAUGCAUACUGAUUAGAAGCAAACUAAGUUAAGUUUUUAGUGCAAGGAUUGCAUAGCAAGCCGCAACGCAAGAGAGAGCUUGCGUGUGCACUGAAAACUAGCAGUAACUAGGUGAAUCCUUUCUAAUUCCUAUGCAUCAAUCUUCAACUACCAAACCAAACCUUUACGAGUGCCAAGGUGCUAAAUCCAGCAAGCUACAAAAGCUUUCAUGCUUGAGAGAUAAGAA